AACGAACGCUGGCGGCAGGCUUAACACAUGCAAGUCGAACGCCCCGCAAGGGGAGUGGCAGACGGGUGAGUAACGCGUGGGAAUCUACCUAGUUCUACGGAACAACAGUUGGAAACGACUGCUAAUACCGUAUACGCUCUAAGGGGGAACGAUUUAUCGGAAUUAGAUGAGCCCGCGUAAGAUUGGCUAGUUGGUGGGGUAAUGGCCUACCAAGGCGACGAUCUUUAGCUGGUCUGAGGGGAUGAUCAGCCACACUGGGACUGAGACACGGCCCAGACUCCUACGGGAGGCAGCAGUGGGGAAUAUUGGACGAUGGGCUCAAGCCUGAUCCAGCCAUGCCGCGUGAGUGAUGAAGGCCUUAGGGUUGUAAAGCUCUUUCACCGAUGAAGAUAAUGACGGUAGUCGGAGAAGAAGCCCCGGCUAACUUCGUGCCAGCCGCCGCCGUAACAC
rnacentral:rRNA from 1 species